rnacentral:rRNA from 1 species
CGCUGGCGGCAGGCCUAACACAUGCAAGUCGAGCGGAAACGAGUUAUCUGAACCUUCGGGGAACGAUAACGGCGUCGAGCGGCGGACGGGUGAGUAAUGCCUAGGAAAUUGCCCUGAUGUGGGGGAUAACCAUUGGAAACGAUGGCUAAUACCGCAUAACGCCUACGGGCCAAAGAGGGGGACCUUCGGGCCUCUCGCGUCAGGAUAUGCCUAGGUGGGAUUAGCUAGUUGGUGAGGUAAGGGCUCACCAAGGCGACGAUCCCUAGCUGGUCUGAGAGGAUGAUCAGCCACACUGGAACUGAGACACGGUCCAGACUCCUACGGGAGGCAGCAGUGGGGAAUAUUGCACAAUGGGCGCAAGCCUGAUGCAGCCAUGCCGCGUGUGUGAAGAAGGCCUUCGGGUUGUAAAGCACUUUCAGUCGUGAGGAAGGUAGUGUAGUUAAUAGCUGCAUUAUUUGACGUUAGCGACAGAAGAAGCACCGGCUAACUCCGUGCCAGCAGCCGCGGUAAUACGGAGGGUGCGAGCGUUAAUCGGAAUUACUGGGCGUAAAGCGCAUGCAGGUGGUUUGUUAAGUCAGAUGUGAAAAGCCCCGGGGCUCAACCCUCGGAAUUGCAUUUGAAACUGGCAGACUAGAGUACUGUAGAGGGGGGUAGAAUUUCCGGUGUAGCGGUGAAAUUCC